UACCCCAGCCUGGAUAGUUGAUAAACAUAUAUACACUUAUUUCUCACAGUUCUAGAAAGUCUGAGAUCAGAGUGCCAGCAUGGUUGGGUUUUGACGAGAGACCUCUUCAGAGUUUAGGCUAUGAUCUUCUUACCUCACGUGAUGGAAAAAGAAGAUAAAAUUGGAUAUCAUUGUAGCUGCCAGCUCACCUUUCUGGUUUUUCAUGCUUCAAUCAGCAAUCCAUCC
rnacentral:lncRNA from 1 species